rnacentral:rRNA from 1 species
UACGUAGGGUGCAAGCGUUAAUCGGAAUUACUGGGCGUAAAGCGUGCGCAGGCGGUUGUGCAAGACAGAUGUGAAAUCCCCGGGCUCAACCUGGGAACUGCAUUUGAUACUGAGGAUCUUGAGUACGGGAGAGGUGAGUGGAACUGCGAGUGUAGAGGUGAAAUUCGUAGAUAUUCGCAAGAACACCAGUGGCGAAGGCGGUGGUCUGGGCCGGCACUGACGCUGAGGAGCGAAAGCGUGGGUAGCAAACAGG